rnacentral:sRNA from 1 species
CGCCAUUGAGACCAUCUACGAGGAAGAACACUCCUUCUCUUCUUCUCCACCGUCCAUCUCCUCUUCUCCUCCUUCACUCCACUCCAUCGUCAAUGCUUGGUCUCUCCAUUCCUCCUCUGAACCCAAUGUCUUGAUAAUUGUUCAAGGAACCUGCUUUCGUUUGCACCAGGAUCGUAUGAUAUCACAAAGUUCAUACCUGAAACAGCACCUGAUGGGAGUUUCUAAUGUAACAAUCUCCCCGCCGUUAAACAUAACGGCCGAGACUUUCGCCACGGUGGCUGGUUUCUGUUACACCCAUAAAGUCCACUUAACGCCGAGCAACAUUGCUGCGAUGAGAGUGGCGGCGGAGUUGCUGGGUAUGACGGAAGGAGAUAAUCUAUGGGAGGUGACAGAAUCGUACUUUGAGAG